CAUCGAAUCCUGUACCGUUAUGGUAUUGGGAAAUGUGAUGUAUAGGUUGUGUCUUUAAUUGUGGAGCUGGCUUCAAAUUUGCUUGAAUGCAAUCUAGUCCCGAGAGGGUGUAAGACCCGUUGGAGCUGGUAAAGCAGUUAUUGAUGCUUCCGAUGAGUCGGAUUGUUUGGGAAUGCAGUCCAAAUUGGGUGGUAAACUCCAUCUAAGGCUAAAUACUUGUACGAGUCCGAUAGCAAACAAGUACCGUGAGGGAAAGUUGAAAAGAACUUUGAAGAGAGAGUUAAAUAGUACGUGAAAUCGCUUAGAGGUAAUCGAGCAGAGCCGAAGCUGGUGCAUGGGAAUCAGUGUGUUGUGCUUUGAGUCUUGUCGGUGUUUGGCAUCAGUCAAACGAUCUCGCCGGUUAGCUCUCGAGGUGCGAUGCAUGCACUUUCCAUGUACCUUUACUGCGAGCAGUAACGCCGUUCAAUUGUCGUGAUGAAACAGUUGAUCUAGUCUUCGGACCGGAUUUUAUAGUUAGUCGCACGGUUAGAACGGUAUACUGGUGAAUGCAAACGGUCAAUGUUGACGGAUCGUUAUGGCGGUAGUGUGUGGCUUGACUCAAAUCGAGACUUGCUGCGUAUCGGCUGCUGUGAUGGUAUGUUGACGGAUUGUUUUAAACUCCGCAGUGUAUAUGUAGGUUACCUGCUUGACCCGUCUUGAAACACGGACCAAGGAGUUUUAUAUGGUUGCGAGUCAAAGGGCUAAAAACCCCAAGGCGAAAUGAAAGUAAAGGUUAACUUCAAUGUUAACUGACAUGUGACCCGGUAACCUCGGUUGCCGGUGCAACAUGGACCCGCUUGAAGGUGUUCGCAUCUGGGCGGAGUUAGAGCAGCCAUGUAGAGACCCGAAAGAUGGUGAACUAUGCUCGAGCAGGUUGAAGUCAGAGGAAACUCUGAUGGAGGACCGUAGCGAUUCUGACGUGCAAAUCGAUCGUCAGACUUGAGUAUAGGGGCGAAAGACUAAUCGAACCAUCUAGUAGCUGGUUCCCUCCGAAGUUUCCCUCAGGAUAGCUGGCACUUGUGAUUUAGUUAUAUUCGGUCAAGCGAAUGAUUAGAAGUCUUGGGGGCGAAAUGCUCUCAACUUAUUCUCAAACUUUAAAUGAGUAUGACAUUCGGCUCGCUUCACUGGAGUCGUAUCGUUCGUCGAAUAAAAGUGCCUAGUGGGCCAUUUUUGGUAAGCAGAACUGGCGAUGUGGGAUGAACCAAACAUCCGGUUAAGGUGCCUAACAAUAUGCUCAUGAGAUACCACAAAAGGUGUUGGUUGAUAAAGACAGCAGGACGGUGGACAUGGAAGUCGUCAUCCGCUAAGGAGUGUGUAACAACUCACCUGCCGAAUCAACCAGCCCUGAAAAUGGAUGGCGCUUUAGCAUAUGACCUAUACCGGAUCGUUGGGGUAAGCUGUUUCAGCGAGUACGCCUCAACGAGUAGGAGGGUGCCAUGG
rnacentral:rRNA from 1 species